AGCUUUAUAGUCAAUAAUGACAUUAGACUGCAAUUCUAAAGGAGUAAAUUUAAUACUAAGGCUU
rnacentral:tRNA from 1 species